rnacentral:misc_RNA from 1 species
AACGCACCUUGCGCCCCUUGGUAUUCCGAGGGGCAUGCCUGUUUGAGUGUCUUGAAAUCAUCAAACCCAACCGGUCUUGUUGCUGGCGCGGUUUGGACUUGGGGGUUCUCUGCUGCCGUUCGCGGCGGCUCCCCUUAAAUGCAUCGGUCGGGCUUUCGUGUGGCUCUGUCCCUUGGCGUUGUAUUACCCUCGUCGCUGGACGGCUCGCGAUCAUGCGCCCUUCCUUGACCUGCCUCUGGAGUGGCGGUCUUCAAACUUUGUGAUCUGACCUCAAAUCAGGUAGGACUACCCGCUGAACUUAA